rnacentral:rRNA from 1 species
UGGGGAAUCUUAGACAAUGGGGGCAACCCUGAUCUAGCCAUGCCGCGUGGGUGAUGAAGGCCUUAGGGUCGUAAAGCCCUUUCGCCGGGGAAGAUAAUGACGGUACCCGGUAAAGAAACCCCGGCUAACUCCGUGCCAGCAGCCGCGGUAAUACGGAGGGGGUUAGCGUUGUUCGGAAUGACUGGGCGUAAAGCGCGCGUAGGCGGGCAUUUAAGUCGGGGGUGAAAUCCCGGGGCUCAACCCCGGAAUGGCCUUCGAUACUGAGUGCCUAGAGUUCGAGAGAGGUGAGUGGAAUUCCGAGUGUAGAGGUGAAAUUCGUAGAUAUUCGGAGGAACACCAGUGGCGAAGGCGGCUCACUGGCUCGACACUGACGCUGAGGUGCGAAAGCGUGGGGAGCAAA